rnacentral:lncRNA from 1 species
AUAUGCUUGUACUAUUUACUCAUUAUAUCAUACACAACAAUAUGUUUUACUGAUGCGUUUACGUAUUAUCAAUGCACAACUAACUCACAAACAACAACUCAUAUAUCUAGGAUUAAAGACUAUAUGAUAUUAUUGUUGGAUUAGAUGUCUAAGCCCAUAACUAUUAUUGGUAUGUACUCGACCCGAGAGUAGCAUGGUCCAUUUGGGUUGCAUGGCAUCGGAACAAUUGGAUAGACAAGUGAGAAAAGGUUAUUUAUGAUUUAUAUUAAUAUAUUAUAAGUUCUAAUAUAUUAAUAUGAAAUCAUAUUAUUUAAUUAGUAUUGAUCAAAAAUUAAUUUGGAAUUAAUUUUGUUUUCAAAAGAGACUAAUUAAAUAUAUGGGGAUUCAUUAUGUAAAUCAUUCAUUCUUAUAUAUGUGGGCUUGUGAUCCAUUGUCCUUCAUGUUGGGCUUAACCCAUGUGGUAACCCAUGGAUACUCCAUGGAGGUUAAAACCCAUGGAUCAUGAAGGAAAUGGAAAGUCAUGCACAUUAGGUUUUACAUGGUGUAACCCUAACGAGCCACACUAUAUAAAGGAUCCCAUGGUUCAUGAAAUGGCACUAGUGGAUACACCUAGUGAGGGCAAGGGCCGAUUUCAUAGGGAGAACCAAAGUAACCUUCUUCUCAAGUUAAUCCAUUUGUUGGUGGUGUUGUGUGAUUCCAUUUGAGGCUUCCACACUAUUGGGGCUAAGCUCUUAAAGGUUCAAAGACUUCAAGCUCCAUCAAAAGGUAUGUCAUCUAACUAGACUUUUGUAGUAUAGUUACUCCAUAAUAUGCUAGUUAGAAUGAUGCUUUGGAAUUGUGUAUUUUUGCAUGUAUAAUAGUGAAAACAUAGAUUCAAGGCGCAUAGGGUUGCAUGCACACCAUAGGGGUGUUAGAAUUCUCAAAACCCAUCAGUGGUAUCAAAGCUUAGGUUUGGUUUUCAAUUAUACUUGAUGCAAUUGCUGAAAAAUCAAAAAACUGGCUUUCUGAACAAUGGACUCGCCGAGUCAAAGGCAAAAUUUGACCAACUCGCCGAGUUUGUUCAUACACUCGACGAGUAGGAGGCCUAGAGCAUAGAUUUUCGAUUUUUAAGGCUGGAAUUGGAAUAGAAUCAUUACCCUAAGCUGUUUUUGAUCUAAUAAACCUGUUUUUGAUGUGGUAAUGAUCAUUCUAAUCCAAUUCAAAAGAUAAUUGUCAAAAGUUUCAUGUUUUGUAUUAGUUUAAUGGUUAGGCUAAUUACAUGAAAAUUGUUUUGAUUUGAAUUGUCUUGUUCAUAUGAGUUUAAUCUAGAUCGUAGUUUUUCUUGACAUGUUUGUUUGUUUAUUAGAUGAUCUAAAUGGCCUUUAAUGGAUUCCAUAACUUGUCCUCAAGUUAUGGAAAACAAAAGUCUUUCUUGUUAAUGAGUCUUUAAAAGGUCAUGAGUUAUGGUUUUGAAUAGUUUUUCCCAUAAAUUGUUGUAUAUCAUCCAUAACUUGUCCUCAAGUUAUGGAUAUUCAAGAGUCUUGCCAUUAAAAGCCAUAUUAAACUCAUAUGUUAUAGAUCCCAAAAGUUUUUGAAUUUUUCAAAAUUUACCCUAAAGUUUUGGAAUUUGUAAAGUUACACUUUUGAAUACUUUAGUUCCAAACCCUAGAAUUUUAAAUAGUUUAAAGUUCAACCCUUAUACUAUUAUAAUAUUAUAGGUUUAAUAUUUAUAUAUAUGUAAAAGAGUAAAAGUCAAUCUUACCAUUAGUAGGCGUCAUUCACGAAGCCGGUCUAUAAUGGGGGGGGGGGGGGUAAUAAGGUUACUGCUUAUAAAAUGACAGUUUAAUGGGUGUCCACUCUCACCCACCGCUUCCUUAACUGGUGGAGGGUCGUUAGUCGAAUGGGUAGGAUAUGACUCUAAUUCUCCCUUUAUUAAAAAUAUAAUGAUAAAUAUAAAGUAACUAAACACUUAUAAAUUCCCAAUCUAUGUUACUUUAGGAAAAUAUGAAUAUGGUUCUAACCCAUGAAAUUACACUUUGUACCUUACCAAGUCGUUGGUGGAGCGUGUGUAGUUAACUAACACACUAACAUGGACUAGUAAGAGUGGCAAAAGGUAACAUAAUGUUUAUCAUAGAUUGGUGGAGCACGUGUGGUUAACAGGCACAUCGAUUAGUUGAUAAAGUUAAGGGUACCAAUUUAAUUUGCAUGGUUAUUCACACCUUGUUUGUGAUCCUCGACAUCCCAUUCACAAACUUGAGAGGGCACAACCGAGAUUUAAACAUGCCAUUGGAAAGUUCAAUGAAUCUCAAAAGAUCUAGGAGUUUCAAUCCAAUUAAAAUCUAAUACCUAUUUCAUUUUUCAUGGUGGAAAUUGGUGAAUCGUUAUUCGCCUACCUUCAAAUAUUUUAUAGCUUAGAUUACGUCAUCCCUCUUCCUAGUUAUAAAAUAUUGUGUUGGGUCCUAGCCUUAAUAUUUCAUAUUGGGUGUUAUAUUAAGGACUUAAAUCAACUAACUUGAAUUUCUCCCAUUGUAGAUGUCUGGUUUAGAUAACUAUGAUCUUCCCAAAUCUCUUGGAACAAGCUUUCCUAAUGAAGAUGAUGUCCCGCGAUUGGAUCAUGGAAAUCGUACUUCUCUUCCUCCACCUCCUCCAGUUAUUCUCCCUGACCCACAAGCUCGAAGACUUGAAAAGUUCAGGAUCACUCAAGUCCUAUUAGAUAGCAAACAUAAAGAUGGAAGGCUAGUGUGUGCACAUGUCUUAGAGAUUAAGGCACAAAUUGAUAGGAUGAGAAUGUUGGGUGUCAUUUUCCCAAGGAAGUUGGCUAUUGAUUGGGUUCUUCAAUCACUUCCUAAGUCAUAUAGUGAGCUCAUUAAAGACUACUACGUGACAGAUCACGACAUGACCCUAAUAGAUCUUACCUAUUUGCUAAUUGUUGCUGAAUCAACAAUGAUUUGGUGCAAUGGUCAAGCAAAUUUGAUUGGAAGGUCGUCCUCUCAAGAUAACAUGGACAUCCCAGAAAUGAUUCCUUCUCCUAAAGGAAGGGAAUUGUCCAUGAUCAAAGGUGUUGAUCAUAAGAGAAAGGCCAUUAAUGAUAUUGCACUAAAUGAGCCUGUGUGUUUCUAUUGCCAAAGAAAGGGACAUUGGAAUCGAAGGAGAACUUUAAUCAGAAUGUAUGGUUCUGCUUCAGGUAAGUCCACUAUCUAACUCUGUUAAGUUCCUAAUUGUUGAUUCUUAAUACAUGAUGUGAUUAGGUUUCAUUUUGAUGUUUGGUAGUAUCAAGCAAAGGGAAGGAAGCUUAAAAGAAGAGUAUGUUGAAUCUGAUCGCGAAGAUGGAUUUCAAUCGCAUGGUUCGAAGAUCGGAUUUUUGAGCUACUGCUUGGGAGUUAUGAUAGAUUGCUAGGAAAUAUGUAAUAGCAUAGUUUUUCACUUGUAAUUGCAUUUUAAGGAAAAGUUUUUUCGCAUUUUAAAAAUAAAUAAAAUUUUGUUUUUGUUUUAUAUCUCCUUGCAAUGGCAUUUAUGAAAAAUUGAUGUUUGUAUGUUUCUAGCAAUAUUGGAAAUAUGAAUUUGAUUCUUUCAUUUGUGGUAGUGUCUAAAUUUACCAAAUAAGGAAAGACUCUCAUCACCCAAGUUUCAAUUGGACAGCAACUUGGAAUCAUGCAAGUUGUAUUGUAUGAUGAAUGAGAAUUUUCAUCUUUGGAAAAUUAAGACUAAUUCCUUGUUCACAUGUAUAUGUGAGACAAGUGAAGGACUAAGGGAUCGUGUACACGUUCUUGUGCACUGGUCAAGUCCACCACAAAGAACGAUAAGACUAUUCGUCAUGAUUUACUAAAGUUUAGUAAAUAUGGUUAUACUUACAAGUUUAAGUAUAAUUCUGAAACAUUGGAAAAGUUUCAAUGUAUGGCAGAACGAAUGAGAAGAAUCAAAUUUGGCAUAAAGAUAAAAGUUUCUCAAAUCUAAAAAGAUGGGAGAGUACUUUAGUAUCAUGUUUUAUGAUCAUCUUAAUGAUUAUGAAACCAUAUCAUAAUUGAUCCUCUAUGGACAUCUUAGUGCAUUCUUAUGGCUAAAAAGAGGAGUCAUGAAUUGUUGAAGUGGUUAAAUCAAGAAGAUGAGUCAUACUUCGUUCCAAAACAAUUCUUAAAGUCAUACUCCAAGAUUGUAACUUGAGUGACAUAUCUUAAAGAAGGUUGAUAAUACUUGUCAAAUGUAAGAGUAAAAUGUUUUCUACUCUUGUACAUUUGAAAUUGGUAAGUUGUGAUGUUUUGGAUAAAACAGAGACCAACUAAGGCCUAUUGUGUGAAGUGUUUGUCUUGAUGAGAAUCCGCACUAACUCUUGAAUAUUUGUUGUCAAGUAAUGGUAUUUGAUAAAGAGAAACUUAUAUGACAAGAGGUCAGUAGGAGUCUUAAAGAUCUUGAAAGUGUUUUAAGAACUAAUCAAGAAUAAAACAUGUAGUUUAUCAAUAGCACACAACUUGAGGUUUGUAACUUAUCGUGCUGAAAAAAAUCUUGCUUUUGUGCCUAUUUCGGUAAAAUUGACUAUGUAUGCGAGCUUUAUGAGUUCUCAAUUUUGAGCAUAACAACUUGGAAGCAAUGGUGGGCCCUUGUGCUGCCAGGUGGCAAGAAAUUAAGAUUUAAGAAGUUCAGUCCAUAUGAGUUUGAAUUUGUCACUAAUCUUGUCUUGUGAUUAUGGUUUUGACAAAUUCAUAUGGAUAGGAACACAUACACCAUAAAAUCUAAGUGUCAUAAGGUUUCUCUUCGAUUCAUGAAAAUGAUGGUGAGGAAACGCUUUCACUAAGAAUAUUUUAAGUAGAUUGCUAUUGUGAUAUUUGCAUUCUCAAAGUCGUUAGUGGAGCGUGUGUGGUUAACCGGAACACUAACAUGGACUAGUGAGAAUGGAAAAAGGUCUAAGCAUUAUGAUUACAACAAUCCCUCUUCAUAAUUGUUUAGACACAUAUGUGAGCUAUAUAAGGAAAGGCGUAUGAUUUUGAGAAGUUUAGAUAAAGUUUUAUCGAAGCGUCUUGUAUCAAAAAUCUGAACUUUGGUAAUGAAAGUCAAUGAAGCAUCGAUUUCUAGAAGUCCAGCUGAUUUUUGAGUACGUGUUAGAGCUAGUGGGAGCAUAAGUGUUAUGCUGGUAAGAUAAUAAUUAUUAUGCAAGUGGGAGCAUAAUUAAUUAUGGUAAAUAUUGUAAGUUAGCAAUGUUAAUUAUAGAAAACAAAAUUUUCAAUUCGUGAAGUUGCAAGGGUUGAAAAAGUUGUUUUUCAAUAAUUAAGGGAGAGGAAAUUAUACUUCAUUUCAAAUCUAAAAGCUUAGAUUGUGAGAUUUUAAUCAAAUUUAGUCAUGAUUACGUUAUUUGCGUUCUAAAAUUUGAUUAUGAUUACGGCAUCCCUUUUCAUAAUUCGAAUUACGAGAACAUGGAAAAUUAUAAUAAAUAUUGUAGCAAAAGACUGGUCAAGUAUCAUGUCUUUAUGUGAGACAUCAUGAAUCGUGUCUUGUAUACUUCACAUAUAGGAUCGAUUGCAUGUGCUAUAAUAGUUAUCCGUUCUAAAUUUUCCAAAUGCCUAGGGAAUUAAGAGGGAAAAAGGAAGAGAACCAGAUAUGACUGAAAUGAUUAAGCAAUUGUCGAGGACAAUCCGAGGUGUACCUAAGAUUGGUUUCUAAUGGAUAGUUGGAAGUAUGGUGUAAAAUUUUGGAGAGGGACCAUAUUGAAAUAUUCUGAAAAAAGGCAGCUCUUGUUCAGAAGUAAGAUUCACAAUGGGAAUAUGGAAAUGGUUCCAUAGGAGGAAGUUAUUCUUCAAAAUCUAUGUAAGAUUAGAAAAACUUAAUGCAAGAAGGAUGUUCAAAGGAAUGUACUUUGAAUGUGGGACUUCGUUUCCAUGGAAUUGAUAUCCAUUGGAAUACUUUGUAAUGUCUGUUGCCAAGUCUUUGUGACUUUUGUGCAUAUAUGAAUUUAAAAUCUAACAUAUUACAGUAAAUGACAAUAAUUUGGUAUUUCUACAUUUACAGUUAGGAUUUGGGAUUGUAAAAUGAGUAUCAUUGGAAUCAUGUUCAAUUGGUCUAUUUCACAAAGUAAGGAUCAUAGACAAACAUAGUGUGCAUACAUGGAGUAUGGCAUAACUAUUGUUUGGACAAACCUAGUGUGCAUGCUUGGACCAUGGAAUGACUAUUGUUUCAGUUCAAUUAUUAAGUUGAUUAUUUGAAACAUUAUGCAAUGAAUAAUGUGUAAUCAGUAUGGUGAUUAAAUAAAAGGUGUUUUAUUUAUAUUCUUGUGUUUCACUUUGCAUGUUUUGACUUACCGAAUAACUAAGUUAUUCAAACCAUCCAUAGCCGAUCAUACUUUGGAAGUAGGUAUUGAGGCAAGACUGUCAUGAAUGGGUCUAUAGUUUGUCUGGGACAUAGUGGCUGCAGUUUUCAUGAGUGCUCCUAGAAUGAGAUUCGAGUAUUGGAUUCAACCCACGCUCAUUUGAAUCACUUCAUGGAUUUUAUCACGAGUGAUCAUGAGACGAUAAUAUCUUAUUUUCUUCAAAUGGAGACGUGUGAGUUGUAGUUGCGAGUUAGUUUCACAUUGACAUAUGUAAACGCAACCAGUAACUUGGUUGUUAUAAAACAUAUCGUUGUGUGUGAUUUGAUGAGUAAGUACAAGCGAGCAUUUGGUUUGAAUUUUAUCCAUUCCUUUUACCCUUGGAUGGAUAAAAGCGAUAUCCGUGGGCCCCGCGAUGAUUUAGUGAUGACACCCCUAAGUGCUUGGCCAAGCCUGGACUGAUUUGAAUUGUUUAAUUAGUCAGUCGUCAUAAAUCGGAAAUCGGGAAACAACACAUGGACAGAGAGAAUGAUUAUAAUCCAUGUAUCAGUCCAUAUGAUUUCUAAAAUGGAGUAGUAUAUGAUCCCUUUUCUAAUGGACACGCCAUUUGACUAGGUCAGAGUUCGACAACGACUUUAAGAGCUAGGAUUGUUAGUUGGGAUCUUGGAGUCAUACUUGAAUAAUAGUUUUAGACUUAUCCAAGUCGGAGACUGUUUGAUUAGAUGUCUAAGCUCAUAACUAUUAUUCGUACGUACUCGACCCGAGAGUAGCAUGGUCCAUUUGGGUUGCAUGACAUCGGAACAAUUGGAUAGACAAGUGAGAAAAGGUUAUUUAUGAUUUAUAUUAAUAUAUUAUAAGUUCUAAUAUAUUAAUAUGAAAUCAUAUUAUUUAAUUAGUAUUGAUC